rnacentral:rRNA from 1 species
UGGGAACCUUCCCUAUGGUUCGGAAUAGCUCAGGGAAACUUGGGGUAAUACCGGAUAAGCCCUUCGGGGGAAAGAUUUAUCGCCAUUGGAUGGGCCCGCGUCGGAUUAGCUAGUUGGUGAGGUAACGGCUCACCAAGGCAACGAUCCGUAGCUGGUCUGAGAGGAUGAUCAGCCACACUGGGACUGAGACACGGCCCAGACUCCUACGGGAGGCAG